rnacentral:rRNA from 1 species
UAUUUGAUUUCCUUCGGGACUGAUUAUUUUGUGACUGAGUGGCGGACGGGUGAGUAACGCGUGGGUAACCUGCCUUGUACAGGGGGAUAACAGUUGGAAACGGCUGCUAAUACCGCAUAAGCGCACGGCAUCGCAUGAUGCAGUGUGAAAAACUCCGGUGGUAUAAGAUGGACCCGCGUUGGAUUAGCUAGUUGGUGAGGUAACGGCCCACCAAGGCGACGAUCCAUAGCCGACCUGAGAGGGUGACCGGCCACAUUGGGACUGAGACACGGCCCAAACUCCUACGGGAGGCAGCAGUGGGGAAUAUUGCACAAUGGGCGAAAGCCUGAUGCAGCGACGCCGCGUGAGCGAAGAAGUAUUUCGGUAUGUAAAGCUCUAUCAGCAGGGAAGAUAAUGACGGUACCUGACUAAGAAGCACCGGCUAAAUACGUGCCAGCAGCCGCGGUAAUACGUAUGGUGCAAGCGUUAUCCGGAUUUACUGGGUGUAAAGGGAGCGCAGGCGGUGCGGCAAGUCUGAUGUGAAAGCCCGGGGCUCAACCCCGGUACUGCAUUGGAAACUGUCGUACUAGAGUGUCGGAGGGGUAAGCGGAAUUCCUAGUGUAGCGGUGAAAUGCGUAGAUAUUAGGAGGACACCAGUGGCG